UAGUCUCCUCCAGUUCGCAGCCGCAGGGGAUUGUGCUCCCAAAAAAGCUGCUGUAAAGCCGCCUGCGGACAUGUACAAAGAGCCAGAUGGUCCUUGUGGUGGGGAAAACCAAUUCUCUAUGUGACCCAAAUGGGUACAGAUCUGCCCAGUUUUGUGCUGGUCCAGAAAUGCAAGUUUCUGAGUGUGCUGGUGAGGUCGCAACGAUCUGGCGUGUGUAAGACACUGACUUGUUGAUGACGUUGUCUCUGAAGUCACAGAAUCUGAUGAUUUAAAAUGUUAAUGGCUUCACCUAUGUCUUGGUUUGCGGUCUUUGAUUAGGUAAAGAAUUGCUGUUGACUUGUGAAUGACAUUUUGUGCGUGUUUUUCCUCUCGUUUAUCUCCAGGUCCGUAUUCACACUGCUAGAUUCUGUGCAAACCCAAGAGAAAUCGAAUUCCCCAUUCAGUAGGGGAUUAAUACUUCUCCUGAGAUGUUUCUGACGCAGGAGGCUUGCAGAUGUUCUUAUACAAGCCUUUAAAAGGACAUUCAACAUGUGGCAUUGCAAGAACAGAUUCAGCAAACUUUAGAAACUGCCUCCCCAUCUCUCUUUCUCUAUUGGGGGAUGUGUGUGGGCUUCAGUCUGCUCUGUCUUCUCAGUGGGUCUUUGGAGGAGACCUUACUGACCACCUGCUUUGGAUUUAGUCUGAAACAGCCUGUCAGGCAGCUUGCAGAUAAUAUUGAUUCCCACAGUAUUUAACCAAAUGACCUUAAAAUGCCUAAAUAAAGUGUGUGUGUGUCCUCUGCACCUCAAGCCCCUGAAGAACAGCAUAAAGAUCAGGAUUUUUUGAGAGGUCAGAAGACUUUUUUUAAUAUUUCUCUUGCUUAUGUUACAGCAAUUGAGUAAUUUGUCCUGCUGUCUCUGGGCAUACAGCACUCCUGGAGCAUAAAACACAGUUUACUAGACUAUUUCAUACCCUGUUAUGAAGGCAGGUCCCUUACAAUUGCUUUUCUUGGGUAAGAUAUCCACAAGCCCUUUGUUUCACUGCCUGAUUCCAUUUCAAUACAUCACUUGUACCUUCAUCACCCACCAUAUGCUGACUACUCUAUUUUCUUAGGUAGGGUAAUAAGUCUUCCCUGAAUGUGUGAAAUAAUCAGGUGAACCAUUAUUAGAUGUCACUACUUCAGCCACUGGAAUAAAAGCUUUUUUAGCAAAAUGAAAUAGAAAUUAAUUUUACUUUGAAAUAUUAGCAUUUGUUUGUGAGGGCAUCUGUUUGCCAAGUUAUUUUAUAUUUCUUCCUAUAUAUGUUCCUUAGACUGUACCAUUGUUUCCUGGUUUCUGAAGCUGAAAGAACAUUGUUUUUAUCAGUCGCAUGGCUUUUGUUAAAAGGGAACCUUGAUUUGUUCCUCUUAGAAUUAGAAGCAUAUUUUGAUACUAUUUGAUUAUUUUUUAUGUUAAGCAACCCAGAAAAGAGAAAUUUCUAAAAGAAAUUUCUUAAAAGGUUCUGGACAUUUCCAAAUAAAUAUAACAACACUAACUAGUUGUCUUUAAAAUAUCUCAUUGUGUUUUAUUUUCUCUUCUAUUUCUUUUACUGCAUUACCCCCUAAUAUAUCCCAAUAAACGCAUUUCAAUCACCAUAAUCAUAAAGCACUCAAUUUAUUAAAGCACAUCCAUAUUCAUACAAUCUAUCCUAAAGAACAGCCAGCAGCUUACAUUCCCGUGAAGCAUCUUUACUUUCACUGACGGAUCAGAGGGAAGCUUUUAGCAGUCAGUGAGGACUGAGCUGCAGUGCUGAGUCCUGCUGGGUGGUGGGAGAAGGAGCUUAAUUUGUGUGAGGUGGACAAGAAACACUUUGACUAUCAAUACUGGGAACAUGAAAGAAAAUGUGUUGCUUGUGUCAGGGAGUUCAGAGGUUAUUCUUCUUCCAAAUGAACCUCAGAAUGUCCCAAGACAUGAUGAUAGCAGCCUUUUGAAAUGUUGUCUCUUUGCUAAACAGAAGGAAAGCUGUUUGAGAGCGAUGCAAAUGUGACAACCUGCUUAUUAGCAGGUGUGUCACUUGCUCCUAACAAGUUACCUGGGUGUAGAGCAAACAGCAUCCCUAAUGGUCAGCUUCACCUACAGACAUUAAAAGAAAGCAUCCAAUUAACUCUCACCCAGCAGAGUUAAGGUACAUUUUAUUUCAGCAAAGAUGCCAAUAGAAAACCUAAGUAAUGCUUUCUAUUCCCAAGAAGCCAGACUGGGAACUCUGUGGUACUCUCCUUCCUCAGGAACUCCAAAGACUUAGUCCUCAAGAGAAAAAAAAAUAAAAAUGUCAGCCAAGAUUUUAUUAACUUAGAGGAGAAAAACAACUUCCAAAUUCCUCAACACAGACCAUGUUUUACCAGCUGUGCUGAAAAAAUGAUCUGGGGAAUGCCGGUUAGUGGCACUGCUGAAGAGGCCAUCUCACCCUACAAUGAAGACAGGUAAUUUCCCAGCUUCCUCAAGAACCUGCACCACAUGCUAAGCUCCCAACUCCUCCUCCUGUUUGGGGAAGUGGAGGCAAAAAGGAAGAAGAGAUCUGGGAAAUCUUGCCUCCACUCAUGCACUCACAGAAACUGAGCUGAUUUGGGAACCUGGAGCCUACUUCUCACCCAAUUUUCUUGUCCUGAGGGUAAUCCAAAGCUAGUCUUCCCUUUGAGAAGACAAGUGUGUCCACUCCACUCACCCCAGCCCUUGAUGGUAGAAAUUCACCCCAGGCCAUGCGGUCAGAGUGGAAGUGCAGCGGAUGGUCCUUUGCCACGGAAAUGACCGAUCAGUGUGAUUUUCAAGACAUAUUUUGACUGCAAGCAAGUGCGCUGAAGUGUUACAUCGUCUGUGAAUUCGGCUUUUCUGCACCGUGGGUUAAUGAGUAAUCCACUGCGUACCUUUAUCUUGCAGAGUUUUGUGUUAAAUUGUUGGUUGCACCAGAAGGAAUGGAACUUUUUAUACUAAUUAAUAGUGAUAAUUUUUGUUUAAUGUGGCAGCUGAGAUCAAGAAACAAAUUGUUCUAAAGUGAAUUAAAUUGGAGGGCUGUUAUCCAACAGAUUCCUGCUGUCAAAAUGUGGAGAGCCUGCCCCCUUUCCCAACCCUUCUUCCCCUUGCCCAGGGACAGACUCACCUUCAGCCCUCUGCCAGUUCUCACACGUGUGGGAUCCCUCACUGAGCUGAUCAAAUUUGCUAACCCAGCAGGUUAAAGGGAACAGCUUCUGUGGGGUUAAUGGCUGGCCUUAUGUAAUUUCACGCUUAAACAAAGUGAUUGUGCAAGCACUGGAACACGUGAGCCGCAGGCACGACACGGCAUCUGCUCACAGAUGAUCAUUUGCGAUUGCUUCCCCUCUCUUCAAUUAUUAACAUUUGGGCCAAGAGACCUCCUGUUUAAGCCUGGGUUACCACAAACAAAAUUGAUGAGUCAAGACUCCGCAACAGCUCAUAUCCUCUGUGGCUCACCAAAGAGACCUCUAACACCAAAAGACUCCAGUUGCAUGACAUGAGGUUCAAUUCCAAUUUUCCCAUCUAAUUGUUUGACUUCUUACCAACAAUAGUCUGGGAAAAAAAAAGAAAAAAAAAAAAAAAAAAAAAAAAAAAGGCAAGAAACCAAUCUUAUGAGCAUUGCUUCCUGUUUUCUGAAGCUGACUCCAGAACAACAGUUUGUGUAAUGAUGAUGAACUGUUAAAUAUAAUUAGGUCUUUUUCCCUAUGGACUUUGUAAUAAAAAUUGUAAACAAUAUUUUGCAAAUAAAGCUGCAGGCCUACAGGCUGUCACUCCCAGAUGGCAUGAAUUAGCGGAGGAAGAUUUGUUGUGCUUCCUUUCCCCGGCAAUCCACCCCUCCCUUGGUUCUGGAUGUGCUAGCCUUGGACAGGGAUGACUCAGCUGCUGGUUAAUCACCUGCUGAAGUGCUAA